CCCUCCCUGGCUUCCACAGCAGAGGGGUGUCCCGGGCUGGCGGAAAUGAAGCUGCUGUGCACAUCUCUGGAACAUCUCGGGGGUCUCGCUAUGUGCUUCAGGCUGGCCUUGAACUCUCGGUGAUCCUCCUGCCUCAGCCUCCAGAGUACUGGGAUGACGGAUGUGUGCCACCACACCGGCUUUUAGUUUUCUUUUCCUUUUUUCUCUUUAAUUUGGAGACAGGGUCUCAGUAAGUUGCUCAGGCUAGGUCUGAAC
ensembl:lncRNA